AGUCUCACUCUGUUGCCCAGGCUGGAGUGCAAUGGCGCGAUCUCAGCUCACUGCAAUCUCUGCCUCCUGAGUUUAAGCAAUUCUCCUGCCUCAGCCUCCCGAAUAGCUGGGAUUACAGGCUUGCACCACCAUGCCCGGUUCAGUGGACCGGACAUGUCUAGGCAGGAGAGCUGCAGACAGGGUGAGGGAGUCACCAGGUGGAGGAGCCCUGGGAGGUGCAAUGGUGAACAACACUGCUUCCGGGGUCAUUGGCUGCAGCAGCAAAGCAAAGCAGAGUGUUCAUUGUGAUUUGUCGUGAAGAAUGAUUUGCCAUGCAUUUGCCUUCCUAGCCUAUCUACUUCCCCUGUGAGUAGAACUACAACACGUACCUUUUAGGAUUUCGAAGAACAGAAAAGCCUUUUAGGUGCACUGUCCAGAAAACCAAGAAGAAGCCCUAGUGGUUUGUUGCUCUGAACUUUGAAAUCUUUGCAGCUGGAUGUCACCAUAUUCUCAUGUCUGUGAGAUUCUAGGUAUUCUGUAUAUAUUGUUAAGAUCACAGGAGAACUAAUCUGUGUCAUUUGGAAGCCAUUUCAACCACAAAGUCAGAUAUUUUAGGAAAUACUAAAAAUCCUCACUUGGAAAUGAACUUUUUUAUAUCACGUUUAAAAAAUUAUGGUAAAUAUAUAUAAAAUCCACCAUUUUAAUCAUUUCUAAGUGUACCGUUCAGUGGCACUAAGUACAUUCAUGUGGUUGUGCAAUCAUCACCCCCCAAUGUCUCUGGAACUUUUUUCAUCUACCCAGACUGAAACUUGGUAUUUCUUAACAAUAACUCGUUUUCUUUCCUUCCCUACAACCCCUGGCAAACACCAUUCUUUGUUUUGUUUUGUUUUUUUGAGAUGGAGUCUUGCUCUGUCACCUAGGCUGAAGUUUAGUGGCAUGGUCUUGGUUCACUGCAAUCUCUGCCUCCCAGACUCAAGAGAUUCUCCUGCCUCAGCCUCCUGAGUAGUGGGGAUUACAGGUGCUCACCACCACACCUGGCUAAUUUUUGUAAUUUCUUAGUAGAGAUGGGGUUUCACUAUGUUGGCCCGGCUGGUCUUCAACUCCUGACCUCAGGCGAUCCACCCGCCUCGGCCUCUUGCAGUGCUGGAAUUACAGGUGUGAGCCACCGCUCCCGGCCCUUGGCAACCACCAUUCUACUUUCUUUCUUUUUAAAAUAUUUUUUGAGAUGGGGUCUCGCUCUGGCCCCCAGGCUGGAGUGCAGUGGCAGGAUGUCAGCUCAUUGCAACCUCUGCCUCCCAGGCUCAAGCAAUCCUCCCACCUCAGCCUCAAUAACUGGGACCACAGGGACGUGCCACCAUGCCUGGCUAAUUUUUGUGUGUUUUUGUAAAGAUGGGGUUUUACCAUGUUGCCCAGGCUGGCCUUGAACUCCUGACCUCAAGCAAUCUGUCCACCUCAGCCUCCCAAAGUGCUGGGAUUACAGGCGUUGAGCCACUGUACCUGGCCUACUUUCUCUAUGUGUAAAUUUGACUACUCUAAGUAUCUCAUAUGAUAUUUCUCGUUUUGUGACUGGCUUAUUUCACUUAAAGUUUCCCCAUGUUAUAGCAUGGCUCAGAAUUUCCUUCCUUUUUAAGGGUGAAUAAUGUUCCACAGUAUGUAUCUACCACAGUCUGUUUAUCCAUUCAUGCAAACAUUGUCCAAUGAUACGAACAUUUAGGUUGUUUCCACCUAGAAAUACAUUUCAAUUUCUUUUUUUUUUUUUUUUCUUUUGAGACAGAGUCUUGCUCUGUCACCCAGGCUGGAGUGCAGUGGCAUGAUCUCAGCUGACUGCAACCUCCACCUCCCAGGUUCAAGCGAUUCUCCUGCCUCAGCCUCCUAAGUAGCUGGGAUUACAGGCACGCACCACCAUGACCAGCUAAUUUUUGUAUUUUUAGUAGAGAUGGCGUUUCAUCAUGUUUGUCAGGCUGGUCUCGAACUCCUGACUUCGUGAUCUGCCUGCCUUGGCCUCCCAAAGUGCUGGGAUUACAGCCACCGCACCCGUCCUCAAAAUGUUUUAGCUGAGAACAAAUACUAAUUACUGAUUCAUAGAAACAACUGUUUUAAGUUUACAUAUGGAACCGUCAUAUAUAGUUUGAUACCAGUGCUGUUUUAUAGAUCCAGGGUCCAAACACCCCAUAGAGGAUUGUAAUCAGGUUCCUCAUAUCUAGAUAUUAUAUCUAGAUCUAAAGCAAGUUGGGGUAAAACAUCCUACUGGACUAGAUUCUGUCAUUUAAAUAUAUUUGAUUGCUAAUUACAGAUUCUGCCUACAGUAACCAACCCUCUGCCAGUUCCUAGAAAGUAAAAGGUAUGUUAUGGCAAAAAGAGGAUUGAUUAUCUAGGAUCACGUAUCCUUGAAACUUGCAUGAUUUUAAUUAAGUCUUUGACGCAAUUACACUGCUAUACCAGAGUCAGGCUGCAAGAAGAACUGACUGUGGUCAGGGGCACAUUUGCCAAAUGUGUUCUAACAAAACAGAGGGAGUUUUCGCUGUGUUGGGGUAGAGAAACAAUUUCCAUUUCGAUUUGCAAAUUGCUAUUCCUGUCAAAAGGAGCAAGCUGAUAACGUCCCCAGUCUUCUUUUAGGAAGUCUGGGGAACACAGAGCUCACAGGCAGAGGUACUCAGAGAGAGACACAAAGCCACAAUCAUGUAGAAGAAAAAGCCAGCCCUGAAAUGGUAAAUUAUUGACAACUGGGCAUUCAGCGGAGAGCACUGAAAGGAAAGUAGGCACUCUUCUGUAACCACAGCAGAUGCAGCCUGUUUCUAAAAUCCAAGGCCAAGAGGCAGGUAUUUUCUGCAAUUAAUAAUAAUGACACUGAUAUCAGGAAGUAACCAUUCUGGCACAGACUGGCAGGGAACAAGAACAGCCUGGGACACAGAGAUCACAGAGGCUGGAUAAUGUGGGAAGAAAGUGAGUCUCUACGAGAUGAGACAAAGGCAACUCCUUGUCAUGUCUGACUAAGGAGUUUCAACAAUUCCCUAAUGCUGGGAGACUGGAAGUUAAUAUCAGAAGCCUGUACAUACUUUUUAUUGUUGUUUGUAGGGUUAUGUUCACGUUAACUGCAUAAUGAAGCAUGUGUAACUGUCAUUCUAUGGUGCACAGUCAUUGAUUGGCAACCAGUGUUUCUGUUGUCUUCAUACUGCCCUGAGUUAGGGAACCUCUUCAGGAGUUCCUGGAGAAUGAUCUGUGAAGCAGCUGGAACCUUCUGAUUUCUGCAGGCCCCAUUCUGGUCCCUGAACAUUAUCCUAAGGGAAGACAUUCCUAGCAUGAAGUAUGCCUGUCUGCGUAUACUACGUGUGACUCAGCCCUUGUUUUUGGAGUUGAUAAUAGAUCUAGUUUACUGCCUUGAAAUAUUUAUAGGUUCUAUUAUCCUUUCUGGUUUUUCCACUGCUUUCUUGAUGCUCCUAAAGAUCUCAGGAGAUGUAACACAGGAGUGGGGAGACAUACACAGUACCAAGAACUGAGUUCCUCCAGUGGCUUUUCUCUGAAUAGAAAGAGAAAGGAAAGAAAACAAGAAGAGAGAAGGCAUAGAAACAUGUUUUUUUGGCCAGGUGCAGUGGCUCACACCUGUAAUCCCAGCACUUUAGGAGGCCGAGGCGGGUGGAUCAUAAGGUCAGGAGUUCAAGAGCAGCCUGGCCAAGAUGGUGAAACCCCAUCUCUACUAAAAAUGCAAAAAUUAGCCAGGUGUGAUGGUGGGCACCUGUAAUCCCAGCUAUUCAGGAGGCCGAGGCAGGAGAAUUGCUUGAACCCGGGAGGCAGAGGUUGCAGUAGUGAGCCGAGAUUGCACCACUGCACUCUAGCCUGGGCAACAGAGCAAGAUUCUAUCUUAAAAAAAGAGAGAGAGAGAAAGAAAAGAAAAGAAACUUUUUUUCCUCUUAGGGAGCUAGGCUAGUCAUGAUUAGACUAGUGAUGGGAGCUGAAGAGAGGCCUUUUGCACUGCCUGGGCAGAGUGGCCUGGGCACAGGGCCAGAGGGCACCCAUCUGGCUGGAGGCCCACAGGUGCCCCGUGAGGUACGACACUUCAAGCUUAGUAAAGCAUAUAUUCUUUUGAAUUGUGUAGAUCCUCCUUCCAAUGUUUACAGACCCUGGCGCAGAGAAAUUGCUUUGCUAAGAGGACAUGUGUUACUUUUCUCUGCAAAUUCAUUUUUUGGGGGAAUGGGAGGGGAGGGCUUAGGAAAGAUAGGUAAGGGUAGGCUUAUGUUCUGCAGAGUGACUGCUAACUGCCUUUUAUUUUUGGUUGGUGGCUCUGGGGCCUGGCUUCUGAGACGCAGUAUCGCUCUAGUUCCUCAAGUUCAGAGUCACCACUGGUUUUCUGGAUCGCUUCAGAUGGGCCCUUUCUCUUAGCCUCUGUUUUAACAUUGGUAAACUGGAAAAUUCCAGGCCAUUUCUUUGUGUGUUCUUCACAAGGAUAUAGGACAACCAUUAGGGCUGUGUUCUAGAAAAUAAAAUACUUUGGAGAAGAGAGUCUAGAUUUAAUUUUCUGUGAUGAUUUAAUAGAUUCAAAAGGCAACUUGAGAACAUUUUUCUUUGGCCCCCUCUAUUCUGUAUGACAGAACUCCAGUCCAGAGUCACGUCUCCUCCACCCCACCCCGUGACACUUGGCUGUUUCCACCAGCCUUUGUUGAAGUAUCUUGUCAAGUCUAAAUCUCAGACCUUUAGGCUCCUGUGCACACCAUUCAAAAGUGAUUCUAUGUAGAUUUGACUGUAAUUAAACCUGCUUUUCCUUUACAACGUUGUAAGAUUGACAUCUGAGCAGCACAAGUCCUUAUUUUUCCCUUGACAGAUUAUUUUCUUUAUUCAAAUAAAGCCUGUGUUCUAUUUUGAA